UAAUACAGAGGGUGCGAGCGUUAAUCGGAAUUACUGGGCGUAAAGCGCACGUAGUCGGCUUUGCAAGUCGGUUGUGAAAUCCCCGGGCUCAACCUGGGAACUGCAUCCGAGACUGCAUUGCUAGAGUAUGGGAGAGGAAAGCGGAAUUUCUGGUGUAGCAGUGAAAUGCGUAGAUAUCAGAAGGAACAUCAGUGGCGAAGGCGGCUUUCUGGACCAAUACUGACGAUCAGGUGCGAAAGCGUGGGGAGCAAACAGGAUUAGAUACCCUGGUAGUCCACGCCCUAAACGAUGGGAACUAAGUGUCGGCGGGUUACCGCCGGUGCCGCACCUAACGGAGUAAGUUCCCCGCCUGGGGAGUACGGCCGCAAGGUUG
rnacentral:rRNA from 1 species